UUUUUUGCCGUCUGGUCAUCCUCGUCGGUCUUCUGCUUCUGGGUAUCGACAUCGUUAUCCUCAUCAUCUUCAGCUGCCCGCUUGCCCGUAGCUGACUCAGCUCCCUCAUCUUCAUCUCCAUCCUCUUCCUCACCAUCACCUUCUUCCUCCCCACCUUCUUCCUCUUCUUCAUCUACCUCGUUGUCAGCCUCCGGCUCCCCAUUUUCCUCAUUAGCAUUCCCGUGAGCAGGGGCGUCUCUUCCAUUUUCCGCCUCUUCCACAACUUCCUUCUUCUCCUUUAAGUCCUCGGUGGUGAUUUCGGAGCUGGUGUCUACGGCUGCGUCUGACAUGGUGGGGCACGCCGGUGACGCGAUGCAGGGGAUAAAAAAGAAAGCGACAGUUCAGGGACUCUGGCGAUAAAGCUGCCGGAGUCCGCGGCGGCGGAGGCGGCUGCGGCGAGCAAGGAGGCUGACGACGCACAAUGCAAAGACGGCUUUUCAGAGCAGCCAGUGGGGCAGGACAAUGUUUUUCAUCAAAUGUCCUUAGAUUUGGAGGAGGAACGUCCAGAAGAGAGAGAUUUAAAUUGCUUUCAGCUAAGCUGUAGACCUCUAGCAGAUGAACGACAUAUUUUCCUGAAGGACUUGCUUCGGUGUGGAAGUGAUUCCGCUGUGAGUUGUGUCUUUUGCGUUGUUGCACUCUUCAUCAUAUUCAUCCGCAGGACCUCCAGCUCUAAAGGGUGUGAAGAGGAUACUGACCCACCAGAAAGAGACCCCACUGCUAGAACGAAUAAGAUGUGCUGAAAGCCGGAGCAUAACUUGGCCAUUCCCAAGAUUUAACAACAAACUAACUACCCAUCAUUAACAGUAAAGAAAGAAAACAAUCAGUAAGAGAUUAUAUAGACCUAAGAGAUGUUACAGACCGAAGAAGAACCUAUGGAGGAAGACAGGAAGAUGAGAGAGAUUUGAAGAUGGUAUGUGGCUGAAUUUGAAGAUAGAGAAAGGAACCGCAAGCAAAGAAUGCAAGAGGUCUCUAGAAGCUGGAAAAGGCAAGGAAAGAGUCUCCCCUCAAGCUCCAGCAGGAAUGCAGUCCUGACACCUUGAGUUUAGCCUAGUGAGACUUCUGACCUCCAGAACUAGAAGAUACAAGUGGUGUUUUAAGGCACUAAAACGAAGAACUAGAAGUAUUGUUUUAAGCCCAUAAAUUUGUGAUAAUCUGUUACAGUAGUAAUAGGCAAUGCAUACACAAGCACACAAAGUAAAAUUUUUCUGUGGUUAUUUUCCAUAUUUUUUCAGUUAUUUUCUGCCUUUUGAAGACAUUAAAGACAUAAAAUGAAUAUGUAUUAGUUUAGGAAUAAAAUUUAAAAUGUAGGAAUGCUAUAAAAGAAGAAAAAAUUUUAACUGGGCUAAAGCAAACCCAGUAUGUCAUCCUAUUACAUCAGCUUCUUCAUCUUUGGAUGAAGAGGUUGGUGACUGUUUCUUCUAAUGUGAGAAUAGCUCCAAAUUGCUAAAUUGUUCAGAAUUUGACAAGAUGAAAGAGGAAAGAAAAAGGAAAUCUUGAAAACAUUUACUGUUUCCUUGUUCAAUGGAUAACACAUGGAUUCCUGAUUGGGAGAUUUUUCCUCUUGCUUUGAUCUGAAGGCAGAAGGAAAUAUAUUCAUUAUUGUUUAAAAGAAUACAUUUUAACCUAACUUUAAAACAUUCAUGAUAUAUUUGUGAACCAUAAUCUUAUUACCCCAACCUAGAAGUUAUUUUGAUCACUAAACUUCCUUUUCAAUAUCUUCAUAUAUGUGUCUUUACAUACUUUAAAUAAAAAAUAUAUAAUUGUAUAACGUUUUAUUAUUUUAUUUAAUAUUUAUCACUUCUAAUAAAUAUAUGUAAAUAUGUAAACAGAAUUUAUGUAUUUUUUCAACAAACAUUUCAAACAUCUACCUUAUGCAAAGCAAUAUAUAGUGAAGGCAGAUAUAAAGUAUAAAUAAGUAUUCUCUAAUAUUGCCUCUAUUUUAAAAAAACUAAAUGUAUUGAGCAUUCUCUAUAUGCCAGGAACUGAACUAAGUAAUUUACUGUUAAUUUACACUAUAAUUCCAUGAAGUAGGUAUUAAUAUUAUCUCCAGGACUAAAGUGAGAUGAUUGACAUUUCUCUUUCCAGAUGAAAUUAGGUAAGUUAUCCAAGGUCAUGUAUCUAGGAAGCAAUAAAUCUAGGAAAUUCAAAUUUAUUGUUAAUUUUUCUAUUUUUUUAUGGAAUUAAGAAAAUGUUAUUUAUAGUUAAUGCUCUUAUACAGAAUUCCCUAUAUUUAACUUUUUCUUCUUAAAAUGACUUAUUUGAGUAACUAUGAGCCUUGGACAUUUUCAAUUUGGGGGCAUUCGUGGGAAUAUUGGCCUCAAAAGUAUCACUCCAAUUUAUAGUCUGCCUGUUAAUAUACCUUUUCCUUGCAAUCACACCAGUCAUGAGCUUUGUAAAAUAAUUAGAAUUGAAUAUUUUUCCAGAAGAUUGUUUAUAAGUUUUAUUUCCUUUUGAAUGAGUUCAUGGUUCUUAGCUUUUGCUUCUUUAUCUACUGAGUUCUAAGAAAACAUUUUCUCUUUGACUAAAAACAUUUUAUCCUAGGCUCUUUCCUCUCCUGCUCAAUAAGUUGCCAUUGGAACUCUGCAAGGAAAAAUUCUAAAAGUUUCAGUGGUGAAUAGAGCAUAAAUGAGAAAUUAAAGCAUUAAUAUUUGUUAGGAAGUAACUUCUCUUCUAGCACAAAAACAAUACAAAAUAUAUUAUUGUUAUCUUAUAAAUGGCAUUACUUAGACAGGAACCCAGCAAUUUUGGAGUCUACACAAUCAGAAGGAGCUACAGUGGGUCUUAUUCUUACCAAAUAGUAGAAGGUUAAUUCUUUUUCAUCCCUGAGAAUCUGUUUAUUCAGAAUGUAGUGUGCUUGAAUCUCCUGGGUUUGUCCACAGGUCAAAGUACCAAUAAUAGGUUUGAGGUGAAUAUAACUCUUGCUUGGGGAAAAAAAAUGCUUUGCAGUAUGAGAUGUUUGCGUAUGAAAUUCAUCAAGCCACCAGUUAUCAGAACAAUUGUUACUCUCUUUGUAUUUGACCUAAUGGAAGAAUAAAUAAGCUGUUUUAUAUAUAAUAUAUAUAUGAUUGCAAAAAUAUAUAAAAAUAUGCAUAUUAUAUAUGUUUGUAUAUAUAUACAUAAAGCAAUAUAAUAAAGCCAU
rnacentral:lncRNA from 1 species